UGGGGAAUUUUGGACAAUGGGCGCAAGCCUGAUCCAGCCAUGCCGCGUGCGGGAAGAAGGCCUUCGGGUUGUAAACCGCUUUUGUCAGGGAAGAAAUCUUCUGAGUUAAUACCUCGGGAGGAUGACGGUACCUGAAGAAUAAGCACCGGCUAACUACGUGUCAGCAGCCGCGGUAAUACGUAGGGUGCAAGCGUUAAUCGGAAUUACUGGGCGUAAAGCGUGCGCAGGCGGUUUUGUAAGACAGAGGUGAAAUCCCCGGGCUCAACCUGGGAACUGCCUUUGUGACUGCAAGGCUUGAGUGCGGCAGAGGGGGAUGGAAUUCCGCGUGUAGCAGUGAAAUGCGUAGAUAUGCGGAGGAACACCGAUGGCGAAGGCAAUCCCCUGGGCCUGCACUGACGCUCAUGCACGAAAGCGUGGGGAGCAAACAGGAUUAGAUACCCUGGUAGUCCACGCCCUAAACGAUGUCAACUGGUUGUUGGGAAGGUUCCUUCUCAGUAACGUAGCUAACGC
rnacentral:rRNA from 1 species